rnacentral:rRNA from 1 species
AGGGUUCGAUUAUGGCUCAGGAUGAACGCUGGCGGCGUGCUUAACACAUGCAAGUCGAACGGGAAACCUUUUAUUGAAGCUUCGGCAGAUUUAGCUGGUUUCUAGUGGCGGACGGGUGAGUAACGCGUGGGUAACCUGCCUUAUACAGGGGGAUAACAGUCAGAAAUGACUGCUAAUACCGCAUAAGCGCACAGAGCUGCAUGGCUCGGUGUGAAAAACUCCGGUGGUAUAAGAUGGACCCGCGUUGGAUUAGCUAGUUGGUGAGGUAACGGCCCACCAAGGCGACGAUCCAUAGCCGGCCUGAGAGGGUGAACGGCCACAUUGGGACUGAGACACGGCCCAG